GAUGAACGCUGGCGGCGUGCCUAAUACAUGCAAGUCGAGCGAACAGACGAGGAGCUUGCUCCUCUUACGUUAGCGGCGGACGGGUUAGUAACACGUGGAUAACCUACCUAUAAGACUGGGAUAACUUCGGGAAACCGGAGCUAAUACCGGAUAAUAUAUUGAACCGCAUGGUUCAAUAGUGAAAGACGGUUUUGCUGUCACUUAUAGAUGGAUCCGCGCCGCAUUCGCUAGUUGGUAAGGUAACGGCUUACCAAGGCAACGAUGCGUAUCAGACCUGAGAGGGUGAUCGGCCACACUGGAACUGAGACACGGUCCAGACUCCUACGGGAGGCAGCAGUAGGGAAUCUUCCGCGAUGGGCGAAAGCCUGACGGAGCAACGCCGCGUGAGUGAUGAAGGUCUUCGGAUCGUAAAACUCUGUUAUUAGGGAAGAACAAAUGUGUAAGUAACUAUGCACGUCUUGACGGUACCUAAUCAGAAAGCCACGGCUAACUACGUG
rnacentral:rRNA from 1 species